rnacentral:rRNA from 1 species
CCAGACUUGCUUGUAGUUGCUCAUCCGGGCUUUUGCCCGGUGCACUCUUCUGCGAGCAGGCCAGCAUCAGUUUGGACGGUUGGAUAAAGGCCUCUGUCA